UGGUUCCUUGGUCUAGUUGGUUAGGACGCCUGCCUGUCACGCAGGAGAUCGCGGGUUCGAUUCCCGCAGGGACCGU
rnacentral:tRNA from 4 species